UUAAUCCACUGGAAGUGCCACGAGAUGCGUUGGCUGAGAUUGAAUGCUUAUUCAAAAUUCCUGAACCUGAUCCAGUUAGUACUGGCGUAGGAAAGUGGUUUUGCUUAAGU
rnacentral:ncRNA from 1 species